rnacentral:lncRNA from 1 species
CAAAUUGAGAGCAUUUAAAAAAAAAAAAAGAAUUUAUGGUUUGAAAUUAUUUCCUGUGCUUCAUUACUGUUGGUGGAAGAAUAUUGAUUAUAAUAAGAUAAUAUUGGAAAAAACCUGGUUCAUGAUGGCACACUGUUGAGAACUGCCCUUUUUGCCCGUUUAAGAUGGGUAAUUUUCAAGCAGAAAGUGUUAAUAAAACUGUUCCCUUUGUGGAUCUUCUGAAAGAAAAUCAUGGCCAGAUGCUUAGUAGGUACUGCUGGAGGUGCAUCUUGGAGCAAAGUAGAAUGCCAUCUAUGGGAAAAAUGGGUAAAUUUUGCCUUAUCAAUUUCAUUGCUAUUAAAUUCCUCCUCCACUUUUUGGGUGCUCAGAAUAAGUUGCUUUACUUGUUUUCAACAGGGUGAGUUACCAGUUUCAGCAUUCAGAUAGUUGUUGGUAAUUUUGUCAUUGGUCAUAUUUAAUACUCAGAUAUUCUGUGUUUUCUUGGAUAGAUAACACGCAUAUGUAAAAAAAAAAAAUUUUGCCAAUUUUAUACAAAAUUUCUUAAAAUUUUCUAGUAUGGAGUCCAGAAUCCAUCUGCAGCAUCCUUUCAACAACCUACCCAACCUGCAGCUAAGAAUACCUCCAUGAGCCCUCGACAGCGCCGGGCCCAGCAGCAGAGUCAAAGAAGGUCAUCCACCUCACCAGAUGUAAUCCAGGGCCAGCAGCCAAGAGACAACCACACUGAUCAUGGUGGAUCAGCUGUACUGAUUGUCAUUCUGACUUUGGCAUUGGCAGCUCUUAUAUUCCGACGAAUAUAUCUGGCCAAUGAGUACAUAUUUGACUUUGAGUUAUAAUAUUGUUUUGCAACUUAAGAGCUGUGAUUCAACUGCUUCGUUAAACAUUCUGCAUUGGGUAUAAUCUAAGAAUUGUUUACAAAAAGAUUAUUUUGUAUUUAUCCUCCAUUCCUUUUUUGAUCCUUAUAAAUUCAAUAUAAAUAUGGCUAGAUAUUUAGACUAUAUCCAGCAGUGUGUCCUGCUUAAUGUAAAGGACUAGAAGUCAGUUUCUUGUCGCACUAUUUGAUCUGCUUCAUAGGGAAAUAACUUAUUGUUGUUUCUAAUGCCUCAGCUUCUGUAAAUUUGCAAUAUUUUUUUCUGUUUAGUUCUUUGAAUUUUUCAGAUAAAUGAUGGUAUUUUAAGUUCCCCUGAGUAUUACUAGUUACUCAAUAUCAUUUAUUGAGUGCUAUUUCUACCUAGGCAGAAUGAUCUAGGGACAGAAGAGUUGAAAAGGGAAAACAAGACUCAAGUAGCUACCUUAAAGUGUCAUUCAUACUGGGACUGUCCACUCUGUAACUGUUCUAAUAUAAUCUAUUUGAAUCAAAUGUUUAUGAGGAAAUGAGAUUACAUCUUUGUUAUCAGAUGUUACUUGAAGAGGAAGUACUUUGUAACCACUUUGAUAUGCUGUUAUCAAUCUUCUUUCUCCAAUAGACACACAGAUUUUAAAAGAAAGAAAACAGUCCUCCAUAGGUCUUUGUCUUAAGGAAGAAAGAGUCCAAGCCAGAAAUUGUUUGAUUUUCUUCUAGAAGUUCAGUGGGAGUAUCUAAAGAUUUGAAUGUUUGCUUUGCUUUGAAUUGUAUAUAUUUUGAAAUGUGUUAUAUACCUAGCUUUGUAAUCACUAUAAAUUUUAAUUACUCCAGGAAUAUGCAUAAUGUUUAAAUAUUUCAUGUACCAUUUUAAUAGAAAACCUCAGGGCCCAAGUAUUAGUGAUAAAAGUUAGAAAAACUUAUAAUAGUCCACCUAAUCAAAGCCCAAGAAAGAUUUUCAGUGAAAAAAAUCAGUAUAUCACUGAAUGCUAGUCAGCUCCACAGAUGCUGAUGGACAAUUUUGUCAUCAAAUUGCCUGGUGAGACCAUAGACUCAGAAAAUAUUGCCUCUAGCAUGUGCGGUUAGCAGCGUUGAGGGCACUCGUGGAGUGUGGUUAAUGAAGUUUUAAUUUUUAAAUAUAGUCCCCAGCCUUCAAACAGCUUUUGCUCUAAAAGUGCAUUUGUAAACUUUUUUUUGGGUACAACUCAAUGUAAAUGAUAUUUAAGUUCUAGACCAGUCCAUGAAAGUUAGCCCAUAUAUAUUUGGAUAGUUUGGGGGAGGGUAUUCAUGAAGUCCUUAUGUGGUUUUAACUAACUGAAAUUAUGGGCUAGACAAAAGCAAUUCAUAAAAUAAUUUUAAAAGCAAAUUUAAUUUUUACUCCUAACACAGGACUUUGGAUCUACUAACCAUCAGAUAUAAUUUCUAUUUUUACUUGAUGGCCAGUUUUCCAUUAAGUCUGCAUCUAAAAUAAGAACAUAUUGCAUACUAUUAUAUAAUACAGAGUUGUUUUAAACUUUAAUAAAUUAGCAUUUUAAAGUUGUUCAGGUUUUUUUUUUUCUGUUAUAUCUAGCUGAAGUUGGUAGUCUGAAAAGCCUAAGGACUUAUGAAGACCUCAUGUCAGGAAAAUUAUAGAUUCCAUUUUAUAAUUUUAUUGCCAUGAGAAAAUACAUCCUGAAGUCUUGGUUUAUAACCCAAGAUAUUAGAAAUAUUGGGUCAGUUGUCUCCAAGCAAGAAAUCACUGACCCAACUGGGAAGACCAGGUAUUGGCAUCACCUAAGAAAUAAAUCCCAUGCCCUCAACCUAUGCUGAGAUUAAUCAUGCACUAGGAACAAUCUUCUUUCUAUUUCCUCUCAAACUUGAGCCAGCCUCUGGAUGUAUGUGAUCUUGAUUGUUUCCACAGGCUGUACCUGUGCUUUACAAUUAAGCAUUUUGCAGAUCCUUCUUUAAUCUGAUUUGUGUCUCUUCCCUUAUCCCUCAAGGAACUGGACACCUGCCUGAUUGUUCAGGGUCUUUUAGCACUUGACACAUACAUGUAGAAGUGGCACGUUUUUCCUCUUUCACCUCGAAUGGUCUUCCUAAAAAUCCUGAAAUUGUCAAUCUGAUCCCCAUUGUGUGGUUAAUAAACCACAUUAAAUUGAUCUUUGAGGCCAUUUUUAUUGAAACCCCACUGAAGGGCCUCUUCAGAAAACUUGUUAUUUUAAAGCCCCACUUUAACCCUUAAUUCAAGCAUAAGGCCAAACUAGAAGUAUAAUCUGGUAUAUAAAGAUGUAAAGGACUCCUUAUUACCCCAAUUCUCAGAUUUAGGUAACUCUUGGCUUUUUCAUUGACCAACAUAGCACAUUACUACUUAUUAAGGUAGUUAAAAUAGCAUGCUUGAUAAAAAUCUGUCUGUUUCACUUGUAACUGUUUAAAGCCAAUGAACUUUCAAAUUUUAUGUAUUGGGGCUUUUAUGUAGCACUUUAUAUUUCCAUGCUGCUUAUUGUUUUAUUCUACUGAAAUAAAUGAAUUUCAUCAAGAUUCUCAACUAAUUUUUUAAAGAAAUCUUAAAUUGUUUAUUGUUUUGACUACGGAAAUAUACAGUUUCCUAUUUCAGGAGAAUAAAGACUCUUUUUGUUAUUUUCGGUUUAUGAAUAAACAUUCUGGUAUCUUGAAGCUUGCCUGUUUUUGCAGAUCAGAAUCAGUAAACAAGUAAACCUCACACACUUGAACUUAAUUGAGCAGAAACCUAGGGUGAAGUACUGAAAAGCGUACAUUGUUUUAUUACUUGCAAGUAAGUAUAAAGUGAAGGCAUUUAGUGAACCUUACUUUAACCAAGAAUAAUGUGUACAUUAUCAUGUGUGCCGUUGAAACCCUCGUGGGAAGCUGUGCAUUGCUCAGAAGCUGUUUGGAAUGUCUCUUGAAUAGGUGCCUUCAGAACUAGUUUGAGCUGCUCAAUAAAACUGGUG